UGGGGAUAUUGGACAAUGGGCGAAAGCCUGAUCCAGCCACGCCGCGUGAGUGAUGAAGGCCUUCGGGUUGUAAAACUCUUUUUACCGGGAAAAAAAUCCUUUGUUUCAUCCCGUGUUGACGGGACCGGACCAAUAAAAAAAGCCCCCGUCAAAUUCAGGCCCCCCGGUAAUGAAAAUAA
rnacentral:rRNA from 1 species